rnacentral:rRNA from 1 species
UACAGAGGUCCCAAGCGUUGUUCGGAUUCACUGGGCGUAAAGGGUGCGUAGGCGGUCGGGUAAGUCUGGUGUGAAAUUCCGGAGCUUAACUCCGGAACGGCAUCGGAUACUACUCGGCUAGAGGGUUGGAGGGGGGACUGGAAUUCUCGGUGUAGCAGUGAAAUGCGUAGAUAUCGAGAGGAACACCAGUGGCGAAGGCGAGUCCCUAGACAACUCCUGACGCUGAGGCACGAAAGCCAGGGGAGCAAACGGG